GUCCUACGGGGGGCAGCAGUGAGGAAUAUUGGUCAAUGGGCGCAAGCCUGAACCAGCCAAGUCGCGUGAGGGAUGACGGUCCUAUGGAUUGUAAACCUCUUUUGUCGGGGAGCAAGGCCCGCCACGUGUGGCGGGAAGGAGAGUACCCGAAGAAAAAGCAUCGGCUAACUCCGUGCCAGCAGCCGCGGUAAUACGGAGGAUGCGAGCGUUAUCCGGAUUUAUUGGGUUUAAAGGGUGCGUAGGCGGACUGUUAAGUCAGCGGUAAAAACCCGGGGCUCAACCCCGGCGAG
rnacentral:rRNA from 1 species